ACGAACGCUGGCGGCGUGCUUAACACAUGCAAGUCGAACGGUGAAGCGCCUUCCUUUUUGGUGGGUGUGGAUGAGUGGCGAACGGGUGAGUAACACGUGAGUAACCUGCCCCCUUCUUCUGGAUAACCGCAUGAAAGUGUGGCUAAUACGGGAUAUUCUGGGUCUGUCGCAUGAUGGGUCUGGGAAAGAUAUUGUUUCGGGGGGGGAUGGGCUCGCGGCCUAUCAGCUUGUUGGUGGGGUGAUGGCCUACCAAGGCGGUGACGGGUAGCCGGCCUGAGAGGGUGGACGGUCACACUGGGACUGAGACACGGCCCAGACUCCUACGGGAGGCAGCAGUGGGGAAUAUUGCACAAUGGGCGCAAGCCUGAUGCAGCGACGCCGCGUGAGGGAUGGAGGCCUUCGGUUUGUGAACCUCUUUCGCCAGUGAAGCAGGCCUGCCUCGUUUGUGGGUGGGUUGACGGUAGCUGGAUAAGAAGCGCCGGCUAACUACGUG
rnacentral:rRNA from 1 species